GAUGAACGCUGGCGGCGUGCCUAAUACAUGCAAGUCGAGCGAACAGACGAGGAGCUUGCUCCUCUGACGUUAGCGGCGGACGGGUGAGUAACACGUGGAUAACCUACCUAUAAGACUGGGAUAACUUCGGGAAACCGGAGCUAAUACCGGAUAAUAUAUUGAACCGCAUGGUUCAAUAGUGAAAGACGGUUUUGCUGUCACUUAUAGAUGGAUCCGCGCCGCAUUAGCUAGUUGGUAAGGGAACGGCUUACCAAGGCAACGAUGCGUAGCCGACCUGAGAGGGUGAUCGGCCACACUGGAACUGAGACACGGUCCAGACUCCUACGGGAGGCAGCAGUAGGGAAUCUUCCGCAAUGGGCGAAAGCGUGACGGAGCAACGCCGCGUGAGUGAUGAAGGUCUUCGGAUCGUAAAACUCUGUUAUUAGGGAAGAACAAAUGUGUAAGUAACUAUGCACGUCUUGACGGUACCUAAUCAGAAGGCCACGGCUAACUACGUG
rnacentral:rRNA from 1 species